CACAUGAGUGGAGCGGCGUCUGAACCGGGCCUUAGACUCCUGACAAAUACCUCCUUGUUUCAGUGACAAUCUGAGAGUGGUCUCACCAAGAUGGCCACUUUAAAUUUCUCGACUUCCGACCUGAAAUGAAACAAUUGAUCGAUAGUGGUACAUUGAGGAGAAAAAAUAGUGUUGCGCGUAGUGGAGUAUGCACUCAUGUAAUUGGAUUUGCAUUUGUGAUUUGACAAAGCAGUAAAUGCCGAAGUAUAGUUGUUUUCACAUUUCAAGAUUGCAACGAAAACGCGAACACAUCAAAGAAAAUAUUUUCGUUAUUUAUUAGCAUGGGAAAAAAAAAGUAAAAAGUGAAAUUCAUAAAAACUA